AAAAAAAAAAAAAAAAAAAAAAAUUGUAUCCGUCUUCUAGAGUCAGACAAACGACGCACAGAGGAAUCCAUCCAUUCAACCCAAGUCAUCAAUCCUUAUGGAGACUUUUAGUUAAAGACUAACUACUAGCUUAAGAGAACUUUUUUACCUGACAACGGCUUAACCCUGUUAACUGCACGUGCCAGUCAUAGGUGCUGCUCUGAUACCAUUUGUUUAACCGAACUCGGUCAGAUCAGCCACACUCUGGUCUGGUGCAGCCUCGGGCUUUCAUUGAGAUGCUGCUGAGGAGGUGUUGAUCACGUGCUGCUGGUGGGUGUGAAAACCGAAAUUCCCAAAGAGACUCAUGGCAUCAUUUAUCGCGUAAGUCACACAGUAGUGCUCCUGCAUCAUGUGCCACUCUUCAAACUCGUCAAAUAAUUCCAGUCGUUCAAUCCUGUGCCUUUCUUGAGCUUCAAUAAAAUCACUAUAAACUCUCAGCAUGUCCCAAGCAACAGCCCUCUGCCAUCCCUGAUCAAGAAAAAGUUUUUCCUUUGCAAGCAAAGUUGGUGUAGCAUAAAUCCCCAAUAGUGCACAGCCACGACUCUCCAAAUUCUUUAUCAUUUGCUGCCCAAAAGCAUCUUCAGGGAGGAUCUGCUCGUAUAAGAAAAAA
rnacentral:misc_RNA from 1 species